GCUGGGUGCGGUGGUACAUGCCUGUAGUUCCAGCUACUCGGGAGACUGAGGAUGGAGGAUCGCUUGAGUCCAGGAGUUCAUAGUGUACUAUGCCCAUCAGGUGUCUGCACUAAGUUCGACAUCAAUGUGGUGACCUCCCAGGAGCAGGGGACCACCAGGUUGCCUUAGGAAGGGUGAACUGGCCCAGGUUGGAAAUGGAGCAGGUCAAAACUCCCGUGCUGAUCAGUAGUGGGAUCGCGCCUGUGAACAGCCACUGCAUUCCAGCCUGAGCAACAUAGCAAGACCCCGUAUCUA
ensembl:misc_RNA Metazoa_SRP Metazoan signal recognition particle RNA